rnacentral:rRNA from 1 species
GAUGAACGCUGGCGGCGUGCCUAAUACAUGCAAGUCGAGCGAACAGACGAGGAGCUUGCUCCUCUGACGUUAGCGGCGGACGGGUGAGUAACACGUGGAUAACCUACCUAUAAGACUGGGAUAACUUCGGGAAACCGGAGCUAAUACCGGAUAACAUGUUGAACCGCAUGGUUUAACAGUGAAAGACGGUCUUGCUGUCACUUAUAGAUGGAUCCGCGCCGCAUUAGCUAGUUGGUAAGGUAACGGCUUACCAAGGCAACGAUGCGUAGCCGACCUGAGAGGGUGAUCGGCCACACUGGAACUGAGACACGGUCCAGACUCCUACGGGAGGCAGCAGUAGGGAAUCUUCCGCAAUGGGCGAAAGCCUGACGGAGCAACGCCGCGUGAGUGAAGAAGGUCUUCGGAUCGUAAAACUCUGUUAUUAGGGAAGAACAAAUGUGUAAGUAACUAUGCACGUCUUGACGGUACCUAAUCAGAAAGCCACGGCUAACUACGAG